rnacentral:rRNA from 1 species
GCGGAGGAAAAGAAACUAACCAGGAUUGCCUCAGUAAGGGCGACUGAAGCGGCAAUAGCUCACCAUGUGAAUCUGCGGCCGAAUUGUGGUCUCAUGUGCGUUAUUGGGGCUGGGCCAAGUCCGUUGGAAUGCGGCAGCUUAGAGGGUGAGACUCCCGUCCGCCUGGCCCCUUGAGCAUGUGUAUACGAGUCGAGUUGUUUGGGAUUGCAGCUCUAAGCGGGUGGUAAAUUCCAUCGAAAGCUAAAUACUGGUGGGAGACCGAUAGCGCACAAGUACCGUGAGGGAAAGAUGCAAAGAAACGCGAAAGCGUUGUCAAAGAGAACCUGAACUUGCUGAAACGGAAGCGAAGGAAACCAGUGCCAGCUGCGUCAUACUUCCUCGGCUGCUUGCGGUCGGGGCGCUGUGGCCAGCGUUGCUCCCCUUGGUUGGCUGGCUGGGAAGCCCUCUGU